rnacentral:lncRNA from 1 species
UUGCAAACUGUCGGUCCACUUUCAGACACUUUGGGCCAGACUAAGUUAUUUUCUCCUUUCCUUCCAGGACAUGCUCCAGAGGGCUUUCCCCAAACCACCUCCUUUCAUUGUCCAGUGCUCACCUCCUCCUGUCUGCCCACCUGCCGUCCCUGUCUAUUGUGUGGGUGCUUCCAGGAGCAAGAUGAUGUAAAGAGGUUUCCUCUGGACUCAACGAAGCACAGCCAGACAGGACACAAUGCUGGCCACUUUCCUGAAAGAAGAAGAAAGACUGGAUACGUACAGAUCUGGUUUUCAUUCUGGCUCCCACAAGUCCUAGCGGAGUGACUUACUACAGGUUGGUUAACUUCGUCAACAUCAGUCAACAGCCUUAUCACUGAAAUGAAAGUGAUGAUAGCUACGUCUGAGGGGUGUGAAGGAUUGUGAGAGAGGACGUCUAUCGAGCACGAGGCAUAGAGGGAUUGAACAGCAAUGUUAACUCCCUUUCCUCUCUCUUUAACCCAUCAGCCCAAGUGAAGAUAGGUUUUUUUAAAAGUUUUUCAAUUAAUCAACAAAUGCACUUGAGGUAUUAAAACAUCAUUGUGACCUUCAAAUUAUAAUCUAGCUGGCAGUAUAAUGCUAAGUCACAUAGAAAAUAAGAGAACAAUACAAGUUUGCCAUUUAAUUAAGUAAUCAAUUGUGUAAUGUGUGAUUCUGGUUAUUGAAUUACAAUUGUUAAGAAAAAGGAAAUAAAAAUAGACUAAAGCUCUGUGAGGUCGCCCUA